rnacentral:ncRNA from 1 species
GAAAAGCAUAAUAGAGAAGCUGGUUAAAUGCCAGCACGGUCCCGCCACUGUAUGGUUGAGCGAGUCUAAAUUAAGUCACUGGGAAACUGGGAAGGCUAGACGAGCGAUGACGCCGAGUCAGGAGAACUGCCUAUUCAA